rnacentral:rRNA from 1 species
AGCGAACGCUGGCGGAAUGCUCAACACAUGCAAGUCGCACGCCCUGCAAGGGGAGUGGCGGACGGGUGAGUAACGCGUAGGAAUAUGUCCAGAGGUGGGGGACAACCCUGGGAAACUGGGGCUAAUACCGCAUAUGGGCUGAGGCCCAAAGCAGUGAUGCGCCUUUGGAGUAGCCUGCGUCCGAUUAGCUUGCUGGUGGGGUAAAGGCUUACCAAGGCGACGAUCGGUAGCUGGUCUGAGAGGACGACCAGCCACACUGGGACUGAGACACGGCCCAGACUCCUACGGGAGGCAGCAGUGGGGAAUAUUGGACAAUGGGCGCAAGCCUGAUCCAGCAAUUCCGCGUGGGUGAAGAAGGUCUUCGGAUUGUAAAGCCCUUUCGACGGGGACGAUGAUGACGGUACCCGUAGAAGAAGCCCCGGCUAACUUCGUGCCAGCAGCCGCCGUAA